UUUUCCCAGAUUUUUUUUCUCUUUCCCCAUUUUCAGAUUUCUUUUUCUCUCUCUUCACUUCCUCUUCUAGAUUCAGAUUUUUCUCUCUCCACCAUCAAUGGUCGCCGCUCGUUCUCGCUGGUCGCCGCCAGUAUGUCGUCGGUAGCUGCUCGUCGGUCGGUGCUCGCAGUGGUGGUUCCUUCGUUGCCGCGAAAUAUAAAUCAAUUGAUUUCUCAAUUUGAACGAAAUCGAAAUCGAACCAAAAUCGAACGACAAUUCUCAAUCGUCAUUCGAAAAAUUCAAACCAAAAUCGAACGAAAUCGAUUGUGGCGGCGGUUUUCAUUAUUUCCGGCUCUCAUUCUCUCUCUUCAAUUCCUCUCUCUCUCCUUUUCGAACACCACCAACAUUCGGCCUCGCUCGCCGCCGCCGCUGCUUGACUCUCGCCGCUACUCACUACCUUUCAAUCGCCGGUCGCGGUGGUUGUGGUUCGCGGUGGUUUCAACAAUUUCGAUUAUACCGUUCGCGGUGGUUGUGGUUCUUGAAUCAGAUUUCAAUUUCGGUUGAGGACGAAGGAGUAGACGAGUAUGACUUUGGUCCUCCGGUCAUUUACGAGGACAAGGAUGAAAGAAGCGAAGAAGAAGAAGAAGAAUCCGAAGAAGAUGCAAUGGACAUCGAUGAAGACACUAAAGAACCCGAAGAUUUCAGUGGUAUAAGCGAUGCUAAACUAAGUGAAGGAUUUAUUAGUGAUUGAAUUACAUGAUCUUGUAUUGCUAUUAUUAUCAUUUUUUCGGGCUUUUCGGGUUAGAAGAAAAUUUUGUUGUAAUUGGUGAGAAUUAGAUUACUUGUAGGAGUCUUGAAACUUUUUGCUAGAA